rnacentral:rRNA from 1 species
AGAACUUUCCAGAGAUGGAUUGGUGCCUUCGGGAACUCUGAGACAGGUGCUGCAUGGCUGUCGUCAGCUCGUGUUGUGAAAUGUUGGAUUAAGUCCCGCAACGAGCGCAACCCUUAUCCUUUGUUGCCAGCGGUCCGGCCGGGAACUCAAAGGAGACUGCCAGUGAUAAACUGGAGGAAGGUGGGGAUGACGUCAAGUCAUCAUGGCCCUUACGAGUAGGGCUACACACGUGCUACAAUGGCGCAUACAAAGAGAAGCGACCUCGCGAGAGCAAGCGGACCUCAUAAAGUGCGUCGUAGUCCGGAUUGGAGUCUGCAACUCGACUCCAUGAAGUCGGAAUCGCUAGUAAUCGUGGAUCAGAAUGCCACGGUGAAUACGUUCCCGGGCCUUGUACACACCGCCCGUCACACCAUGGGAGUGGGUUGCAAAAGAAGUAGGUAGCUUAACCUUCGGGAGGGCGCUUACCACUUUGUGAUUCAUGACUGGGGUGAAGUCGUAACAAGGUAAGCGUAGAUGA